rnacentral:misc_RNA from 1 species
GAUGAAGAACGCAGCAAAAUGCGAUAAGUAAUGUGAAUUGCAGAAUUCAGUGAAUCAUCGAAUCUUUGAACGCACAUUGCGCCCGCAGGUAUUCCGGCGGGCAUGCCUGUUCGAGCGUCAUUUCAACCCUCAAGCCCCCGGGUUUGGUGUUGGGGAUCGGCUCUGCCCUUCUGGGCGGUGCCGCCCCCGAAAUACAUUGGCGGUCUCGCUGCAGCCUCCAUUGCGUAGUAGCUAACACCUCGCAACUGGAACGCGGCGCGGCCAUGCCGUAAAACCCCAACUUCUGAAUGUUGACCUCGGAUCAGGUAGGAAUACCCGCUGAACUUAAGCAUAUCAAUAAGCGGAGGA